CCUACGGGGGGCAGCAGUGAGGAAUAUUGGUCAAUGGCCGCAGGGCUGAACCAGCCAAGUCGCGUGAGGGAUGACGGUCCUAUGGAUUGUAAACCUCUUUUGUCAGGGAGCAAAGGGCGCCACGUGUGGCGCUUUGCGAGUACCUGAAGAAAAAGCAUCGGCAAACUCCGUGCCAGCAGCCGCGGUAAUACGGAGGAUGCGAGCGUUAUCCGGAUUUAUUGGGUUUAAAGGGUGUGCAGGCGGAAUGUCAAGUCAGCGGUAAAAUUUCGGGGCUCAACCCCGUCGUGCCGUUGAAACUGGCGUUCUUGAGUGAGCGAGAAGUAUGCGGAAUGCGUGGUGUAGCGGUGAAAUGCAUAGAUAUCACGCAGAACUCCGAUUGCGAAGGCAGCAUACCGGCGCUCAACUGACGCUCAUGCACGAAAGCGUGGGUAUCGAACAGGAUUAGAUACCCCAGUAGUC
rnacentral:rRNA from 1 species